UUAAGUUCAGCGGGUAUUCCUACCUGAUCCGAGGUCAAACCUGAAAAAUUGGGGGUUUAACGGCAGGGGCUACAGCACUUCAGAAGCGAGAACGAAUUACUACGCUUAGAGAUUACUGAAACUCCGCCGAUGACUUUGAGGAGCUGCCUUUUACGGCAGGCUCCCAACGCUAAGCAACAGGGCUUAAGGGUUUGAAAUGA
rnacentral:misc_RNA from 1 species